CAGCAGCCGCGGUAAUACAGAGGGUGCGAGCGUUAAUCGGAUUUACUGGGCGUAAAGCGUGCGUAGGCGGCUUCUUAAGUCGGAUGUGAAAUCCCUGAGCUUAACUUAGGAAUUGCAUUCGAUACUGGGAAGCUAGAGUAUGGGAGAGGAUGGUAGAAUUCCAGGUGUAGCGGUGAAAUGCGUAGAGAUCUGGAGGAAUACCGAUGGCGAAGGCAGCCAUCUGGCCUAAUACUGACGCUGAGGUACGAAAGCAUGGGGAGCAAACAGGAUUAGAUACCCCCGUAGUCCCUGUCUUUAUACA
rnacentral:rRNA from 1 species